GUGCACGCUGGCGGUAGGCCUCACCCCUGCCAGUCGAACGGCAGCACAGUAAGAGCUUGCUCUUACGGGUGGCGAGUGGCGGACGGGUGAGGAAUACAUCGGAAUCUACUUUUUCGUGGGGGAUAACGCAGGGAAACUUACGCUAAUACCGCAUACGACCUACGGGUGAAAGCAGGGGAUCUUCGGACCUUGCGCGAUUGAAUGAGCCGAUGUCGGAUUAGCUAGUUGGCGGGGUAAAGGCCCACCAAGGCGACGAUCCGUAGCUGGUCUGAGAGGAUGAUCAGCCACACUGGAACUGAGACACGGUCCAGACUCCUACGGGAGGCAGCAGUGGGGAAUAUUGGACAAUGGGCGCAAGCCUGAUCCAGCCAUACCGCGUGGGUGAAGAAGGCCUUCGGGUUGUAAAGCCCUUUUGUUGGGAAAGAAAAGCAGCAGGUUAAUACCCCGCUGUUCUGACGGUACCCAAAGAAUAAGCACCGGCUAACUUCGUG
rnacentral:rRNA from 1 species